UGUGUUCUUGGAAAUCAAUGGACGAAGUGUGAGCUUAGUGCUCACCAUGGAAUAGUUCGAAUCUGGGAUUUAUAUAUUUAAUUUCUACUUCAGCUACUUCAGCAAUUCAAUUCUCCACCACUGAACGACCAGCCCUCAUUGCCUUCAAUCCAGAUUCAUCUAUUAGGCAGGCAAUUCAAUUCUCCUGCACUACUGAACCACCAGCCCUCAUCGCUUUCAAUCCAUGAAGCAGUAAGCACUUAUCGAGUAUAUAUCAGGCAGGCAAUUCAAUUCUCCUGCACUACUAAACCACCAGCCCUCAUCGCCUUCAAUCCACCAAGCAGUAAGCACUUAUCGAGUAUCUAUCAGGCAAUUCAAUUCUCCUGCACCACUUAACCACCAGCCCUCAUCG